rnacentral:rRNA from 1 species
GACGAACGCUGGCGGCGUGCUUAACACAUGCAAGUCGAACGGAAAGGCCCUGCUUUUGUGGGGUGCUCGAGUGGCGAACGGGUGAGUAGCACGUGAGUAACCUGCCCUUGACUUUGGGAUAACUUCAGGAAACUGGGGCUAAUACCGGAUAGGAGCUCCUGCUGCAUGGUGGGGGUUGGAAAGUUUCGGCGGUUGGGGAUGGACUCGCGGCUUAUCAGCUUGUUGGUGGGGUAGUGGCUUACCAAGGCUUUGACGGGUAGCCGGCCUGAGAGGGUGACCGGCCACAUUGGGACUGAGAUACGACCCAGACUCCUACGGGAGGCAGCAGUGGGGAAUAUUGCACAAUGGGCGGAAGCCUGAUGCAGCAACGCCGCGUGCGGGAUGACGGCCUUCGGGUUGUAAACCGCUUUCGCCUGUGACGAAGCGUGAGUGACGGUAAUGGGUAAAGAAGCACCGGCUAACUACGUG